rnacentral:rRNA from 1 species
AUACGGAGGAUGCGAGCGUUAUCCGGAUUUAUUGGGUUUAAAGGGAGCGUAGGUGGGAUAUUAAGUCAGCUGUGAAAGUUUGGGGCUCAACCUUAAAAUUGCAGUUGAUACUGGUUUCCUUGAGUACGGUACAGGUGGGCGGAAUUCGUGGUGUAGCGGUGAAAUGCUUAGAUAUCACGAAGAACUCCGAUCGCGAAGGCAGCUCACCGGGCCGGAACUGACACUGAUGCUCGAAAGUGCGGGUAUCAAACAGGAUUAGAUACCCUGGUAGUCCGCACAGUAAACGAUGAAUACUCGCUGUUUGCGAUAUACAGUAAGCGGCCAAGCGAAAGCAUUAAGUAUUCCACCUGGGGAGUACGCCGGCAACGGUGAAACUCAAAUGAAUUGACGGGG